GAAAUGUUACAAAAGGGUCCGCCUUUACCUUUGCUCUCGCGUUACUCUGAUGUCAUACGCCGAUCAGUCAGCUCCGCACCAGUCGAACACACAAAGCGUCAAAGUCUGGAUGAAAAGCAGAGACCUGCCCGGAUUCCACGCACGCAGAUACCCUCAGAAAACAGCUAUUUUAAUCAACCAUCACUCGCGUGUGCAUGUUUGCAAGCAGUACAAGCCUGCGUGAUGUUUGCGGUGACAGGUUUUAAUAAAAGAGAAAAAAGUCAAUUGAUAUUUGACAUCUAUAAACAAUAAUAUAUACGAAAUAUAAUUAUAUGGUCUUGACAUACACAUUAUCUGUUGCUUUAGUUUAAUAUUAAACUACUCAUUUGGUUUAUUUGAUUGUGACAGUCCCUCUAUCACCAAUCACAAAUCAUCACUUUACGCUUCUCUUUCUCAGUGGAUAAACUGAAUCAAAGCUGCUGUUAUCUGCAGUUAUACAUUUUACAGAGACCAGUAGCCUAUUCAUUAGAUUUUAACUGAACUUUUUUGGCACUUUUAUCAGAAGGAAAGCAUAAUAGAAGUGUAUAAAAUAAUAGUAAAGACUCUAAUCCCAGGCAUUUAAAUUCAGUAAAAGCUUUUAUUUCAAUUUAAUUUCUAAAAUAUGAUUCGAUUUGUAUUGUGAACCAUUUUAACGCAGUCUUUCCCAACUAUUUAACACAGAAAUAGCUAAAAUCCACACUAUUAUCAAUUGGCAAAUGGUUAGGACUUAUAUAAAAAAUUAUUACCACAAACCCCCACCCCCCAAAAAAAAUCUCACUCCAAGCUGAACUCAGAAGUUGGCAGCUCUGCAGACUUUUAAAAGCCUUAAGAUCAGCACCAGUGUAUGGGGAUAUCCCGUUUACCACAUAGUGGUAAAAAUCAUGCGGGCUGAAGUCGGGCAGACUCGGCGUUUAAUGAGGUCCGUGAAAAUUGAAGGAGGAAGAAGGUAAGGGUCGGUAUCCAGUCCCGCUAUCUCUAACUUCUCUAAAUAGCGCUUUUUGUGAGGACCUACCAAAUGCCCUACCUCGACCGAUAACGGCACAACAACUUCCUUAAUAUAAGAAGCCAUGUAUUUUAGUGUAAUAUAUAUUUAAACUGUUUAAAACUAAUCAAAAAUCCCGCUCGUCUAUUACUAAUCAACCUAGUGCGUCAGUGAUUUUGCCGUCCAGCAUGGCGUCGUCACGUGGUCUAGGUCACGUGUUUGCAAAGGGUCUAUUGAGAUGGGUCUGUCUGCGGACCGCAAGACAGGGGCGUGACGUUAAGGGGCGUAACUUUUAGCAGGGGGCGUAACUUUAAGUUGUCCAAGUUACACAGAACCACGCGAGACGUCAGGACGAGAUGUUGUCAUUCUGUCUUCUCUUCUGCCCGCAUAGAGAUACGGUGGCUAAAGGCGUUAUUAAAGUUGCUCAUCCAAGCGCCCUCAUGUUUGUUCGUACCAAUUUUAAUGGACGGGAAGCCGACUGACGAACAUCCUUUUCCCGAGAAAUGGUUCGGCUACGACACAUGUUAAGAAGUCACGCCAGGGGCUGAAUUAAGGUCGACCGUUUCAGCUGCAUUGAUGUGAAGUGAUGCAGUGGACAACUUGUGAGGGUGAUACCAUCCACAUGCACCUUAACUGUCUGUGAUGCAGAAAUACAAUAGGAUGAUCCAUCUGUCUACACUUCAAAAUCACAACUCAACCUUAAACAACCCAUAUCUGUUAUGGUAAAACAAUGUGGUGGUUUUCCAGACAGGGCUUAUACUGUUCCCGGGCUAAAAUGCAUGUUUGAGCUACUGUAAUUAAGAAAACACCUUGUACUGACACAUCUCAACAUAUAUCAGUGCCAUUGUUUUGUUUCAAGAUGCACACCAGUCUUGUUUUUGUAAGGUUUGUUUGUAAAAACUAAAAUGUUCUAAUAUAAGUGCCCAGUCCUGGUUUAAUCUAAACCAUUGGUGACCAAACCUGUGUCUUGAGAUCUACUGUCCUGCAGAGUUCAGCUCCAAUCCCAAUCAAACACACCUGAACCUGCCAAUCAAGCAUUUCAGGGGAACCUUAAAAUUAUAGUCAGGUGUGUUUGUUAAAGCUGGGUUAGAACUAAAAUAUGCAGGAGGGUAGAUCUCCAGGAACAGGGUUGGUCACCCCUGAUCUAAACAAAGGGUUUCCAAACUGUGUCCUGCAAAGUUUAGCUCUAACCCUAAUCAAACACACCUGAAGCAGCCAAUUAAGGUCUUACUAAGCAUACUAGAAACUUACUGGCAGGUGCUCUGAUGCAAGUUAGAGCUAAACUCUGCAGGACACCGGCCCUCCAGGACUGAGUUUGGGCACCCCUGACUAAGCCCUGCCUGGGAAACUGCACCAAUGUGUUGAGCUGGCACCAUUGUACAUUACUGCUGCUGAGAAACAACCACAUUUCUCAGCUCUACACAGGGUUGACAUUGGAUGCAUUAUUAUUAUAAAAUGCAUUCAUGUGCACUUUACCAAUACUGUACAUACAUCAACAGCUUCCAGCUAUACACUUGAGAUCAGCUCCUGAUGCCUCUCAUAAUGCUGUGUUAUAAUUUAUUGCAGGGUGAUCUUGCUGAAAGGAUAUUUUUAUAAACCUUUACAAUGUCACCAGAUGUUACCUGUUGUGAAUAAUUAUUUUAUAAACCUUUACAAUGUCACCAGAUGUUACAUGUUGUGAAUGGUUAUUUUUAUAAACCUUUACAAUGUCACCAGUUGUUACAUGUUGUGCAUAGUUAUUUUUAUAAACCUUUACAAUGUCACCAGAUGUUACCUGUUGUGAAAAGUUAUUUUUAUAAACCGUUACAAUGUCACCAGA